rnacentral:rRNA from 1 species
UCAGCUAUUAGGAGGCAUUGCCUGCCCAGUGACAACUGUUUAACGGCCGCGGUAUCCUAGACCGUGCAAGGUAGCAUAAUCAUUUGUUCUCUAAAUAAGGACUUGUAUGAAUGGCUCCACGAGGGUUUUACUGUCUCUUACUUUUAAUCAGUGAAAUUGACCUGCCCGUGAAGAGGCGGGAAUGACCCAAUAAGACGAGAAGACCCUAUGGAGCUUUAAUUUAUUAAUGCAAACAGAACCUAUUUAACCCUUAGGGACUAACCUACCUCUCCUGGAUUUGAAAUUUUCGGUGGGGGGGACUCCGAACAAAACCCAACCUCCCAAGCGAAUUUGCUAACAAUUCCCCCGUCUCAGAUAACUCUUAUACUCAUUUGAUCCAAUACUUUGUCCAACGAACCAGUUUACCCUAGGAAUAACACCCCAUCCCUAUUCUAAAUUCCUUAUCACCAAUAGGGUUAACAACCUCAAGGUUGAAUCAGGACUUCCGAAUGGGGCACCCCCUAUUAAAGGUCCUUUGGUCCAACAAUUAAGGUCCUACUGGAUCUGAUUUCAAACCGGA